AUUGAACGCUGGCGGCAGGCCUAACACAUGCAAGUCGAGCGAGCGGCGGACGGGUGAGUAAUGUCUGGGAACCUGCCCUAUGGAGGGGGAUAACUACUGGAAACGGUGGCUAAUACCGCAUACCAUCAGAUGAUCCCAUAUGGGCUUAGCUAGUAGGUGGGGUAAUGGCUCACCUAGGCGACGAUCCCUAGCUGGUCUGCGAGGAUGAACAGCCACACUGGAACUGAGACACGGUCCAGACUCCUACGGGAGGCAGCAGUGGGGAAUAGUGCGCAAUGGGCGCAAGCCUGAUGCAGCCAUGCCGCGUGAGUGAAGAAGGCCUUCGGGUUGUAAAGCACUUUCAGCGGGGAGGCGGUACUCGAAGAAGAAGCACCGGCUAACUCCGUGCCAGCAGCCGCGGUAAUAC
rnacentral:rRNA from 1 species